AGAGUUUGAUCCUGGCUCAGGACGAACGCUGGCGGCGUGCCUAACACAUGCAAGUCGAGCGGAGACAGUGAGUAGCUUGCUAUGAACUGUUUUAGCGGCGGACGGGUGAGUAACGCGUGAGCAACCUUUCCCAGACAGGGGAAUAACACACCGAAAGGUGUACUAAUACCGCAUAAGACCACGGGAUCACAUGGUUCUGGGGUAAAAGAUUUAUCGGUUUGGGGUGGGCUCGCGUCCGAUUAGGUAGUUGGUGAGGUAACGGCCCACCAAGCCGACGAUCGGUAGCCGACCUGAGAGGGUGAUCGGCCACAUUGGGACUGAGACACGGCCCAAACUCCUACGGGAGGCAGCAGUGGGGAAUAUUGGGCAAUGGGGGGAACCCUGACCCAGCAACGCCGCGUGGAGGAAGAAGGUUUUCGGAUCGUAAACUCCUGUCCUUGGAGACGAGUAGAAGACGGUAUCCAAGGAGGAAGCCCCGGCUAACUACGUGCCAGCAGCCGCGGUAAUACGUAGGGGGCAAGCGUUGUCCGGAAUAAUUGGGCGUAAAGGGCGCGUAGGCGGCUCGGUAAGUCUGGAGUGAAAGUCCUGCUUUUAAGGUGGGAAUUGCUUUGGAUACUGUCGGGCUUGAGUGCAGGAGAGGUUAGUGGAAUUCCCAGUGUAGCGGUGAAAUGCGUAGAGAUUGGGAGGAACACCAGUGGCGAAGGCGACUAACUGGACUGUAACUGACGCUGAGGCGCGAAAGUGUGGGGAGCAAACAGGAUUAGAUACCCUGGUAGUCCACACUGUAAACGAUGAAUGCUAGGUGUAGGGGGUAUCGACCCCUUCUGUGCCGCAGUCAACACAAUAAGCAUUCCGCCUGGGGAGUACGGCCGCAAGGUUGAAACUCAAAGGAAUUGACGGGGGCCCGCACAAGCAGUGGAGUAUGUGGUUUAAUUCGA
rnacentral:rRNA from 1 species